CCGAAAACCUAAUCGCCCGUUAUAAGACAACACCACCGCUAACCCUAGUUCUUGCUACCGGAAGUUGCAGGUGAUUACGACAGUUUCGCCAUAAGCAACUAUGACUACAUUUGCCACUCCGGGUGCAUCAUCGCUAGCCAGAUGCCCUACUUCAUUUCUGUUCAUCUAUUUCACAUAGAAUAGUUGUUCAAUCAGUCACUGGAUCGGCAUGGAGUAAAUUUCUCUCUCCAUAUCGUUUGGAAACAUCGAAUCGCUCUGUUAGUUUCAACGCAGGAAUUUGGAAAGUGGCUCGUGUGUUGUAAAGGAGAAGGUAACAAGGGAUUCAACACAGACAUUUGCAGAUGGCAAUGCAUGGAGUAUAAGUUUUUUAGAAGGUUUCUUGUGAUUUUGAGAAGCUGGGGUUUUAGGCAGCUUUCUCAUUUGUUUCUUUUUGUGGAAUUUUUGGGGUGAGAUUGAAUAUUCAAAUUCUGUGUGACCAUAAAUGUUUAAUUGUUAUUUUGUAUCUCAAUGGAAUGAUGCAUAUUUUGAACUAGAA